AUAUUAAUGAAGAUAUUAAUGUGAGGAAUAAUAAUAGAAACGACAUUUCAACGUCACAACGUCAUAAUGAACAAAUAAAAACCUAUGAAGCAUCCGACGAUGUACAGUCAUACGAUAUACCUAUAGUAAUGGAAAGUUCUUCAUUGUGUGCUUCAUCGUCUGCAGAG